AUACGUAGGGUGCAAGCGUUGUCCGGAAUCAUUGGGCGUAAAGCGCGCGUAGGCGGCCCGAUAAGUCCGCUGUAAAAGUCAACGGCUCAACUGUUGAAAGCCGGUGGAUACUGUCGGGCUAGAGUACGGAAGAGGCAAGUGGAACUCCUGGUGUAGCGGUGGAAUGCGCAGAUAUCAGGAAGAACACCUAUAGCGAAGGCAGCUUGCUGGGACGUUACUGACGCUGAGGCGCGAAAGCGUGGGGAGCGAACAGGAUUAGAUACCCUGGUAGUCCACGCCGUAAACGAUGACAACUAGGUGUGGGAGGUGUCGACUCCUCCCGUGCCGUCGCUAACGCAUUAAGUUGUCCGCCUGGGGAGUACGGCCGCAAGGCUAAA
rnacentral:rRNA from 1 species